GAUGAACGCUGGCGGCGUGCCUAAUACAUGCAAGUCGAGCGAACAGACGAGGCGCUUGCUCCUUUGACGUUAGCGGCGGACGGGUGAGUAACACGUGGGUCCCCUACCUAUAAGACUGGGAUCACUUCGGGAAACCGGCGCUAAUACCGGAUAAUAUUUCGAACCGCAUGGUUCGAUAGUGAAAGACGGCUUUGCUAUCACUUAUAGCUGCACCUGGGCCGUAUUAGCUAGUUGGUAAGGUAACGGCUUACCAAGGCAACGAUUCGUAGCCGACCGGAGAGGCGGGUCGGCCACAUGGGAGGUGGGACGCGGUCCAGAGUCCUAAGGGAGGCCGCAGUAGGGAAUGGGCGGCAGUGGGGGAGAGCAUGGCGGAGCGACGCCGCGUGAGUGAUGGAGGUGUUGGGAGCGGAAAGCUCUGUUAUGGGGGGAGAACAAACGUGUAAGGAGAUGAGGAGGGAGUGACGGUAACGAAUAAGAAAGCAACGGCUAACUACGUG
rnacentral:rRNA from 1 species